GGUCCGAGCCAAGUUGAUGGUAGUCAUUAAGUUGGCAAUGACCAUCAAUACUAUGAUUGGGCCUCAAUAUUUCACAUUCAUGAUAGGAAUCUGUUUGCCGAUUUUGUAAACCUAUUCAUUUACAGAUCCCUUUUGUGUGAUUACAUCU